CCUACGGGAGGCUGCAGUGAGGAAUAUUGGUCAAUGGGCGAGAGCCUGAACCAGCCAAGUCGCGUGAAGGAUGACGGCCCUACGGGUUGUAAACUUCUUUUGUCAGGGAGCAAUUGGGUCCACGCGUGGGCUUAGCGAGAGUACCUGAAGAAAAAGCAUCGGCUAACUCCGUGCCAGCAGCCGCGGUAAUACGGAGGAUGCGAGCGUUAUCCGGAUUUAUUGGGGUAAAGGGGUGCGUAGGCGGAAUAUCAAGUCAGCGGUAAAAACUCGGGGCUCAACCCCGUCGUGCCGUUGAAACUGAUGUUCUUGAGUAGGCGAGAAGUAUGCAGAAUGCGUGGUGUAGCGGUGAAAUGCAUAGAGAUCACGCAGAACUCCGAUUGCGAAGGCAGCAUACCGGCGACCAACUGACGCUGAAGCACGAAAGCGUGGGGAUCGAACAGGAUUAGAUACCCUUGUAGUC
rnacentral:rRNA from 1 species